CAAAAUUAUUGUCUGAUGCUAGUUCGAACUUCCCAACACGUGGGCUAGCUUUUCGCCGUGUCGACUAUCCGACGAAAUGCAGAUCAAGAUUUUGAGAAAAGAAAAUACAAAGAUCUUCGUAUUCAGCGGUCAAUACAUCGGCCUAUUGAUCUUUAGAAAGAUUGGUCGUCCAUUGUAUGGCCCAUGGACCGUCGAAGUACAUCUGGUUUGACGGUUCAAGUCACUCUAAGCCAUGUUAAAUGUAAUCUCACGCUAAGCCAUAUGGAGAAGGAUAAGAUCAGGAGAUCUCUAGCAUGGAUGGGAUUUUCGUUAUAAAGAAGGAAUAUACAUAUUUUAAACUUAUAUUCGGAUUAUAAUAUAAUUAAGUCAGAUUGAAAUUUGAAUCAGUGAAUUGUUUUCAGUCUUGUAUCAAUAUAUAUAUGGAAAAAAGUUCUCUAGCUACACAAACUAUUG